rnacentral:misc_RNA from 1 species
GAUGAAGAACGCAGCGAAAUGCGAUAAGUAAUGUGAAUUGCAGAAUUCAGUGCAUCAUCGAAUCUUUGAACGCACAUUGCGCCCGCCAGUAUUCUGGCGGGCAUGCCUGUCUGAGCGUCAUUUCAACCCUCAUGCCCCUAGGGCGUGGUGUUGGGGAUCGGCCAAAGCCCGCGAGGGACGGCCGGCCCCUAAAUCUAGUGGCGGACCCGUCGUGGCCUCCUCUGCGAAGUAGUGAUAUUCCGCAUCGGAGAGCGAUGAGCCCCUGCCGUUAAACCCCCAACUUUCCAAGGUUGACCUCAGAUCAGGUAGGAAUACCCGCUGAACUUAAGCAUAUCAAUAAGCGGAGGA